rnacentral:rRNA from 1 species
UUCCCAUACCGAACACGGCAGUUAAGCUCUACAGAGUCGAUGGUAGUGGGGGGUUUCCCCCUGUGAGAGUAGAACGUCGCCUGGU